rnacentral:lncRNA from 1 species
UCGUGUCCUGAGAACGAGGUACGCGACUCCUAUCGGGAUCGUCGACACGUCGGGCGGCCUUGCUGGAUUAGUUUUACCUUUGACGAGAUAUCUUGUGCAUCGAGAUUCCGGUGAUGCUUUGGGUAAUCUCAGAGUUGAGGUUUUCCACUAGGGGUCCGACGAGAUCACGAGCUUCGUCAUUGAGGAUUUCUAUGCGGCUUGUGGUAAUUUGUGAUGGACUAGUUGGAGCACCCCUGCAGGGUUAAAUCUUUCGGAAAGCCGUGCCCGCGGUUAUGAGGCAA